rnacentral:rRNA from 1 species
UACGUAGGGGCAGCGUUGUCCGGAAUCAUUGGGCGUAAGAGCGUGUAGGCGGCCGAGUAAGUCCGCUGUGAAAGUCAAGGCUCAACCCUGGAAUGCCAGUGGAACUGUCGGCUAGAGUCCGGAAGAGGCGAGUGGAAUUCCGUGGAUGUAGCGGUGAAAUGCGCAGAUAUCGGGAAGAACACCUAUGGCGAAGGCAGCUCUCUGGGACGGUACUGACGCGAGGAGCGAAAGCGUGGGAGCGAACAGG